GGCGCAGCAGCAAGCCGCCGCCGCCGCCGCCGCCGCCGCCGCUGCCGCCUCGGCCCGGAAGCGAAGUAGCCGCGCAAGGCCCGAGCCCCGCGGGCCGCCGCUGCCGCUGCCCUUGAACCGCGUGAAGCAGCUCGCCAAGCAGACCGUGGGCAGGGUGAAGGUGCGUUCCGUUUGGUCUGUUUCUUACGUGUGGAAGCAUUUCUGACCAUCAUUGGCCCGUACUGAACACUCGGGAGUUUUCACGUGGAAACCUGGGCUUCCUGCUGCUUCUCCAAUGUUGCAAGACCUAGCGAAGCCUGGCAUCGCGCCCUCGCGCAAGGACACGUCGUCGUAGCUGUAGCUGCAGCCGCGUAGGUGCUGUCCCGUCCGGGUGGGGCAUCGACCGUCCAGUGUGCCCGGGUCCCUACCUGGCUUGUCCUGCUGUGGUACGUUCCUUGCGGACCCCUCCCUGCUCACGGAUCUCUCAAGGACCUUCUCCAGGAGCAGCGGAGUCUCUGCCUCGCGAGGUAGCCCGUUGCGUUAGGGGCAACGCGAGUCAAAGGCAUCUCUGCCCGUGAGUCCCAGGGGAGUCCUCCGGUGCCACGACGCCUGCGUCUCUCUUCCGCGAGACGGCCCUUUCUGUAUUCGGCGUCGCAAACCGCACACCGUGUCCUCGCUCUCUCAGCGGUAACAUUCUCCACCCCUCACCUAUUCUACACCCUGACUUCCUCCGCCUUUUCCAGGGGAGGUGGCUGUGCUUGGUUCGCUUCGGUCUGGGUGGAUCCCGUCCAGCCUCUGCAUAGAGCAGAGGAGGAAAGGAAUGUGUUCUCCCCGCGACUUCUGAAUCCGAGCUUCCGUGGCCUGGUCAUCCACUUUACCUCCUGUGAAAUCAAACAGGGUUGUUUAUAGGUGCGUGAAGAAAGCCCACGGUUCACUGAACCAGAAUGAACCCUAAACAGAUGUGGUCACGUGUGGCCUUAUGGCGUUGGUUUUACACGUGAAGGCAGCAUGGUAUUCUAAGAGGAAAUGAUGUCUGUGGUCGUGGUUCCCAGUGUGUCCACGGCAGCCCCCUGCCCCUGAGAUUGGACACGGGUGUAUGGGAUAGGGUCCCAGAGUCAGUACGCACACCACGCAGUCUUGUCGGACUGGCGAUGUCUGGCCUUUAUCAUUCUGUUUCUGUGUCUCAAAUGUAGGCAGAUGCCCUCGUAAUCAAUCCAAGUAUAGAUCCACGUACGAAUAUCAUUACGCUCCUA